GGGCGAAUGGAGGAACUGGAAUACUCGUAGCACUCAGAAUGCUACGCCCUUGUGGAUUGAGCGUUCGAAUCGCUCUUCGCCCACCA
rnacentral:tRNA from 1 species